CGGUCUCGUUUCGAUGGGA
rnacentral:misc_RNA from 1 species